rnacentral:rRNA from 1 species
AGAGUUUGAUCCUGGCUCAGGAUGAACGCUAGCGAUAGGCUUAACACAUGCAAGUCGAGGGGCAGCACAUGAGUAGCAAUACGAUGGUGGCGACCGGCGCACGGGUGAGUAACACGUAUGCAACCUGCCCAUAACUGGGGAAUAACCCGUCGAAAGGCGGACUAAUACCGCAUAAUACCGUUUUACUGCAUGGCAGAACGGUUAAAGAUUUAUCGGUUAUGGAUGGGCAUGCGUUCCAUUAGGUAGUUGGUAGGGUAACGGCCUACCAAGCCUACGAUGGAUAGGGGUUCUGAGAGGAAGGUCCCCCACACUGGUACUGAGACACGGACCAGACUCCUACGGGAGGCAGCAGUGAGGAAUAUUGGUCAAUGGGCGAGAGCCUGAACCAGCCAAAUCGCGUGAAGGAUGAAGGUAUUAUGUAUCGUAAACUUCUUUUGUCAGGGAAUAAAGUGCGUCACGAGUGGCGUUUUGUAUGUACCUGAAGAAUAAGGAUCGGCUAACUCCGUGCCAGCAGCCGCGGU